ACCAAAACUAAAAAAACUUAACUUUGACCACUGAACCAUGAAAAUGAGGUCAAGGUCAGAUGACACCUGCCCGCUAGACAUGUACACCUUACAAUCAUUCCAUACACCAAUUAUAGUAGACCUAUGGCAUACAGUAUAAGAAAAACAGACCAAAACACAAAAACUUAACUAUAACCACUGAACCAUGAAAAUGAGGUCAAGGUCAGAUGACACCUGCCAGUUGGACAUGUACACCUUACAGUCCUUCCAUACACCGAAUAUACUAGACCUAUUGCUUAAAGUAUCUGAGAUAUGGACUUGACCACCAAAACUUAACCUUGUUCACUGAUCCAUGAAAUGAGGUCGAGGUCAAGUGAAAACUGUCUGACGGGCAUGAGGACCUUGCAAGGUACGCACAUACCAAAUACAGUUAUCCUAUUACUCAUAAUAAGAGAGAAAUUAACAUUACAAAAAAUCUUAACUUUUUUUUCAAGUAGUCACUGAACCAUGAAAAUGAGGUCAG